rnacentral:rRNA from 1 species
AGGAUUCCCCUAGUAACUGCGAGUGAAGAGGGAUGAGCUCAAAUUUAAAAUCUGGCGGUCCUUGAGGCCGUCCGAGUUGUAAUUUAGAGAAGCGUCACCCGCGUUGGACCGUGUACAAGUCUCCUCGAACGGAGCAUCAUAGAGGGUGAGAAUCCCGUAUAUGACACGGACUACCAGGGCUUUGUGGUGCACUCUCGACGAGUCGAGUUGUUUGGGAAUGCAGCUCAAAAUGGGUGGUAAAUUCCAUCUAAAGCUAAAUAUAGGCGAGAGACCGAUAGCGAACAAGUACCGUGAGGGAAAGAUGAAAAGAACUUUGGAAAGAGAGUUAAACAGUACGUGAAAUUGUUGAAAGGGAAACGCUUAAAGUCAGUCGCGUCUUUCAGAGAUCAACCUAGCCUUUUGGCUUGGUGCACUCUUUGGAGGACGGGUCAGCAUCAAUUUUGACCGGGGGAAAAAGUUGGUGGGAAUGUGGCACCUCCGGGUGUGUUAUAGCCCACUUGCAUAUACCUUGGUUGGGAUUGAGGAACUCAGCGCGCCGCAAGGCCGGACUUUUGUCACGUACGCGCUUAGGAUGCUGGCAUAAUGUCUUUAAUCGACCCGUCUUGAAACACGGACCAAGGAGUCUAACAUGCCCGCGAGUGUUUGGGUGUUAAAACCCGAGCGCGUAAUGAAAGUGAAAGUUGAGACCUCUGUCGUGGAGGGCAUCGACGCCCGGAUCAGAUCUUUUGGGACGAUUCCGAGGUAGAGCGUGCACGUUGGGACCCGAAAGAUGGUGAACUAUGCCUGAAUAGGGUGAAGCCAGAGGAAACUCUGGUGGAGGCUCGUAGCGAUUCUGACGUGCAAAUCGAUCGUCGAAUUUGGGUAUAGGGG